rnacentral:rRNA from 1 species
AUGAUAGACUCAGCCUCCAUAGGAGCAGCAGCGUCCACGUUCUCUGAAGAGACCAGUUUAGCUUCAAUCACCGCGCCUCCAGCCCCGGCAGGAGCACUCUCCACGUUCUCUGAUAAGCCAAGGUUGGAUUCAGUUUCACCUACAGCCUCAACAGCGGCAACACUCUUCAAUGUCAUCUCUGCAGUGCCCAGAUUACAUUUGGUCACACCUACUGCCUCGAGAGGAGCAGCACUUGCCAAUGCCAUCUCUGCAGAGCCCAGAUCACAUUCUGUCCCACUUACAGCCUCAACAGCAGCGGUAAUCGCCAAUGCAAUCUGUGCUGAGCCCAGACUACAUUCAGUCACACCUACAGCCUCAGCAGGAGCACUCGCUUCAUUCUCCACAGACCACGGGUUAGCUUCAGUCAUGGUGCCUCCAGACUCGGCAGGAGCACUCACUGAGUUCUCCGCAGACCCGACGUUAGCUUCUGUCAUGGCGCCUCCAGCCUUGGCAGGAGCACUCGCUGCGUUCUCCACAGACCCCGGGUUAGCUUCUGCCAGCCUCGAUAGGAACACUCACUGCUUUAUCUCCAGACACAAGGAUAGAUUCAGUUUCACCUCCUUCCUCGACAGGAGCAGCACCCUCCAUGUUCUCUGCCGAGCCCAGGUGAGCUUCAGUCAUGACGACUCCAGCCUCAACAGCAGCAGCCCUUGCUGCAUUCUCCACAGACCAAAGGUUAGCUUCAGUCAUGGCGCCUCCUGCCACGAUAGGGACACUCACUGCUUUAUCUCCAGACACAAGGAUAGAUUCAGUUUCACCUCCUUCCUCGACAGGAGCAGCACUCUCCAUGUUCUCUGCCGAGCCCAGGUGAGCUUCAGUCGUCGUGCCUCCAGCAUCAACAGCAACAUUCUCAGGUUCAGCAGUGUCCACAGCAGCAGCACUCGUUGUGUUCUCUUGAGAAAUCAGCACACAUACAUCAUCUACAACCCUAGUUGUUUCCUCCCCGUCCCCUGA